AUGUUCUUACCCAGAGUUCCCUAUCCUCCCUUACCCAGAGUUCCCUCACUUACGUCCUUACCCAGAGUUCCCUCACCCUCCCUCACCCAGACUUCCUUCACUUACGUCCUUACCCAGAGUUCCCUAUCCUUCCUUACCCAGAGUCCCCUCACUUACGUCCUUACCCAGAGUUCCCUCACUUACGUCCUUACCCAGAGUUCCCUCACCCUCCCUCACCCAGACCUUCCCCCACCCUCCCUCAAUCAUACUUUCCUCACCCCUUUCUUCACUCAGAGUUCCCUCACCUUCUGUGUUUUUUUUUUUUUAAUCAAUGGAGAGAAGAGUUACAACUUUCAUCCAAUUUUUGAAAAGCAAUCCAGAACCCAAAAGGUGAGUCAUCGCAGGCCUGGGACAUCCACAUUCCUUUGUGGACUCAUUCCAGCCGGUAGCUGGAGAAGCUCAUGGGCAGAGGGUUUGGCCAGCCUGGGGCAGCUGUGUGCAUUCAUCAUCAGGGUGGCUCUCUCCCUGGUUCUCACGAGACUUUUCUGCAGCAACACCUCCUUGCUGGGAAUGCCUCCAGGUCAGAGAUUUUGCCUCCUCCAGGUCUGUACCCCUGGCAUCCAGUGCACCACAGAUGUUCAGAGAAUGAGUGAGCGAAUGAAUGAAUGAUUAGCUAGGCUGCUUGGAGAGCUGGGAUCCUUUCCAUCCUAUUCUCAGUUCUUUUCCGCCCCACUUCUGGUCGCCGUGGUUCACAUGCUUGGCUUCACAUGGACUGCACCACUCUCAGCCUCUUCCAUCUACCUUUACUGGGUGGUGCUUCUGUUAAUGUCCAUGAAAUGAUCUGUCUCUUCAAGGGUUGAAAUAAUUUUCCUUCACUCUAAUUUAGAAGUUUAUAUGCAAAAGCAAUAGCUUAGGGUUUCCAAUAUAUGUCUGAAAGUUCUCUUCAUCUGAAAACAUGAUUUUUUUUUCAGCUGAAGGACAGGUGAGAGUUUCUAUCUCUAAAUGGAUGGUUUAUCCCAGUUAUAGAUGACCUUCCUUCACUGGGGGUCUAGGGGACCCUGGACAAUACAAAUCUUUGCAUUCGUGUGCUUCAAAAUUUACAACAGAAUUUUUUUAAUUUAAAAAAACCAAACCAAAAAGUUCCCAUUGAUCAAGAUACGCAGAGCAGGUAUUAUCUCUGUUUCAAAAGAGUAGCUUGAGGCCAGAAUCACAUAGCUCAUAAGUGGCUGAGUCAAUCUAUGACUCUGAAUUUGUGUAUUUUUCAAUGUUCCCUGGACUAAAUCUUUCCCAGAGCUGCUCCCCCCUUUUUUUUAUUCUCACUCCCCUGCUUACCUCAAGCAUGACUUAGGAGCUGGCUCUGUUCUUCUGGCUGGACAGCUGGACAUUGGAUGCUGGGGCAGGAGAUGCAAUCCCACCCUGUAGCGUCAGCGCUGGAAGGAGUGGAAGCUGGGUUCUCUUGAGUGGGUGGGGCCAGAAAUAGGGAUUCUGAAUUCCUGGCUCUUGGCUCCCUCGUUUCUAGGAUCCACUAUUCCCUUAAUUUCCAGGUUAUGGGUCUCACAAAAUUUUAUACAUUGGACAAUCAGAAGCCCAACCCUGGAACGCAUUUUCUAAUUCCUAGUCCUUGGGUAAUUUGCUCCUCUCCCUCCACAUUUAACCAACACCCAUGACCAGCUCCUCAGCAGAGCCCUGAAUUGCAGGAGACUCUGGUCUCAAGAAAACUUCUAAAUGAUGUCAAAGAGACAAAGCCAAAACCCACCGUAGAUGCACACUUGCAACAGUCCCUAGUCACCCAGGACCCAAACACCAUUGUAUUUUAUAGCGGGCACAAAAAAGGGGCCAAGAAAUUAUCCCGCCUCUAGAAGAUGAGAUGAUAGGAAGUUACAGUGAAGAUAAUGAAGCACUCUUAAAAUAAUGAUACCAGAAUUUGGGAGUUCCCAUUGCAGCUCAGUGAUAAAGAACCCAACUAGUAUCCAUGAGAACGUGGGGUCGAUUCCUGGCUUUGCUUAAUGCGUUAAAGGAUCUGGUGUCGCCAUGAGCUGUGGUGUAUGUAGGUUGCAGAUGCAGCUUGGAUUCUUUGUUGCUGUGGCUGUGGCACAGGCCGGCAGCUGCAGCUCCAAUUUGACCCCUAGCCUGGGAAUUUCCAUAUGCUGUGGGUGUGGCCCUAAAAAGAAAAAAGCAAAAUAAUGACAAUGAUGAUACCAAAAAUUGAAUGCAGACUGUGCCUGAUAAUUUUGAAAGCUUUCAUGUUUAUAUCAUUUCACAUAAUUCUCAAAGUAACAGCCUUCUAGGUAGGCAGAGCAGACAUUAUUAUGCCACUUUAGGAAAUUAAAUCUGGGUCUUUUGAUCUCAAGUCCAGCUCCCUUGUGUAAAGCAGGACCAAUAUGAUAUAAAGAUAUACCAAUUUUUAAAAAAGUCUGUAGUUCAAGUUACCUAAUUCUGGUUCUCACCUGUGUGUGUGGGACUUCAGCCAAAUCCCCCCCGAUUAUCUCUGGGAGCCCCUAAGUUCUGGGAGUCCCUAAGUGGUUUCUCAUGUGCAUUCAGGAACAAUGUCACUCACAGAAUCUCGCUGUUGGUGACUGCCCAGUUCUACUGGACUCUGUGAAAGUCACUGAGUAGGACCCAAUCCAUCACUUUCAUGGUCUCUCUGGAACUGUGCUCUUUCCUGCAACUCCACCAGGCCUGGCAGUUUCCAUUAGUACUUAUUUCAAGUCCUCAGGCUGUGGUGGUCUGUGGCAGAGCAGGGGACAGUGGCUACCUUUUUGUGGAAUUAUGCUUUGUCAGAGGCUCCCCAAAAGGUGAUGCUAUGCCUGCAGCAUGAUACAGAAGUUAACUUAGCAGCUAUGUCAGUUUUUCUGCAAAUGGAGUGAAGCCCAUUUUUGAUUAAAUCUUUGUUGCUUGAACCUGAAGACUCAAGCAGAUGUGGGAGAUUGGCCAGUCUCUCUUCAAUACUGAAGUGCUCUAAUUUGGUUAGAGGGGAAUACUUGUUACAAGCCCUUUGAUAUGUCAGGCUGUGUAGUUGCAGGAAUGAGUGAUCCAGUGACAACCAAGUGGAUGCAAUUCCUGCUCUCUUGGAUCUUACAUUCUGGAAGGUCAGAGCACCAGGUCCUUCCUUUUCUAGAACAAAUUCUUUCCUGGGAGGCCUAGCUGGAUUGUUCUCUCCUCUCCCCCACCUCUCCCCACCAUCUCACAUCCCAAUUAGCAAAUAAACAUUUUAUUUUUUUACUUUUUAUUAAAAAAAUUUUUUUUUGGUCAUGUCCCCCGGAAUGUGGAAAUUCCCAGGCCAGAAAUCAAACCCAAGCCACAGCAGAGACAAUGCCAAAUCCUUAAUGGCUAGGCCUCCAGGGAACUCCCAUAAAUAAUUUUUCUUUUCUUUUUUAGGGCCACGCCUGCUACACAUGGAGGUUCCCAGGCUAGGGGUCGAAUUGGAGCUGUAGCUACCAGCAAUGCCAGAUCCGGGUGGUAUCUGCAACCUACACCACAGCUCACGACCACACCAGAUCCUUAAGCCACUGAGCAAGGCCGGGGAUCGAACCCACAUCCUCAUGGAUACUAGUCAGGUUCUUUACCUGCUGAACCAAGAUGGGAACUGCAUAAAUACAUUUUAAAUUAAAGUUUUUAUUCUGAGAUGAUGGUACAUUUAUUUGCAGUUGUAAUAAAUAACAUGGAGAGUUCCUGUGUCCCACCUACCCUGUUUCCCCAUCUUUCAAAACUGUAGUGCAUUGUCGCAGUCAGGAAUGACAUUGACAGGCCCAGACACGGAACAUUUCCAUGUCCACCCCCACCAGAAUCCCUGUUAUGGCUCUUUCACUGCCAUCCCCACCUCAUUCCACCACCUUUGAUCCCUAGCAAUCACUAAUCUAUUCUCCGUUUCUAUAAUUUUGUCAUUUUGAGAGUAUUACAUAAAUAGAAUCAUACAGUGUGUGUCUUUUGGGAACUGGCUUUUUCUUACUCAGCACCAGUCUUAUCUGAAGAUUCAUUGUUUAUUCAUAGUUCAUUCCUUUUCAUCGCUGAGUAGUACUCCACGGUAGGGAUGUGCCACAGUUCAUUUGGCCAGUCCCCCACUGAAGGACGUCUGGGUUGUUUCUAAUUUUUGAUUAUUAUGAAUAAAACUGCUGCUUUGUAGAUUUUUAUGUGAAUAUAUAAUUUCAUUUCUCUGGGACAAAUGCUCAGAGGGGCAAUCGCCAGGCAGUGGGUAGUGGCAGGUCUGGUGUUAUAAGAAAUUGCCAAAUGGUUUUCUAGAGUGGCUAUACCCAUGUCCACUGCCACUGGCAAUAUGGGAAGAAUCAAGAUUCUCCACAUCUUCACCAGUAUGUAAACUUCGGACUGACUACCCCAUCAAAUCACCCACCAGACCUACCCAGGCGGGUUGAAAAUCACCCAGGGGACAGGGGGCCUGAGGUUGUUUGUUUUUCCCAGCAGCCUCUUUGUGCAAGUUUGACUUCUACUUCCUGUGUCCCACUAUUUCUCCAGACCUGUCCAGGCAUGCCUGAAGCCUCAGCAGUGUCAGAAAAAAUCUUCAGGGCUCAAGCUACAUGUCCCUCUGCAUAUAGUGAGAUGUUUGGGAGGUUUUAGCUCUUCUUUUUUUGGCUGCAUCCACAGCAUACAGAAAUUCCCAGGCCAGGGAUCAAACAUGCACCAUAGGUGUAACCAGAGCCAUGGCAAUGACAACACCAGAUCUUUAACUUGCUGAGUCACCAGGAAACUCCAGGUUUUAUCUCGUCUAAAGACCUGCCCCUCCCUAUAUCCCCUGCUGAAAGGUAGGACCCAGAGACCAGUUUGUCCCCACACAGCUGGCCCAAGGGAGGACUUCUUUGACAUAUAGAGACAAUCCCCUUCUCUCCCUUGGUGUCUAUUAUAAGUCAUGCACUGUUCUAGAUGCUGCAGAUAAAAUAGUGAACCAUCAGGCAAGGCCCCUACUCUCGUCACCCUUACGUUGUAUGAAGGGGAAAUAACCAAUAAAGAAGCAAGAUGAUUGAAGAUGGUGAUAAAACCUAUACCCAGGGCAAUGUGAUGGAGUGACUCUCCAAGGAACUCAGGCCUUUUCUUAUCAGAAUUCCUACUUUUUUUCAGAGCUAAUGAUUUCCAUGUCUUUUGCUGCUUUUUAUAUAAUGUUUCUGAUUCCAUCUUGACUUUCACAAUCAACCACUCCUUUUAUUUUUUAAAGAUCCUUUUCUAAUUUUGUUCUUCAAAUUAAAAGGCAUUUUUCCAAAUGUGGAGUGGGCACUAGAGAUGCAGUGAAAAUACUUUCUUCUUUAAUUUCAACACCACAUUUUUAUGAAUCUAGUCAAACACUGCAGGCUUAUGGAAGGCUGUCUUCUUGUCCAUUCCUGGUUCUGUGAAUUGAUAUUCCCAGGUUCUUUUCAAGGGGAUACUGAAAGUCAAACCUCUCACAUUCUAUUCUACUUCCAAGCUAUUUACAUAAAUAUACAUCCAACUUGCUAGCCUUAGCCUGUCAGAUAUUUCUGCCACUUGAGUCUGUUAUUUAACCAAUCAGGCAUCAGAUUGCUUGUGAAUGGGAUAACGUGCCUCCUCAGAUCAAAUUUCAUCUUCAAGUGUUAAGAGGACAGAACACUGAGGCACACCUGGCUUUCAGACCAGCAUAGUCCGCUUAGGCUCUUUGGGUUUCAUGGCUCGGUAGGCUAGGAAGCCACCUUCAGUUUCCUCAUCUUGCCCAUGAGAGUAGUACAAGAGCUUUGGUAAGAUGUUUUGCUCAGAUCAAGCUUUGUUACAUUACCUGUUUGGUAAUCCCAUCAAAAAAGCAAAUGAGCGUUUGAUGAGGCUUGUUCUUAAUGAUCCCAUGUUGGUUUUCAACGUUUUGUUUUAGUCAUUUAUAACAUCACACCCUCUGCCUCAAGCAGUUGGCUUAGCCUUUUUCUGGUUCUUCCUGCUUGGAACACAAACUGAAACAAAAAUCUUUGUUAUCUUCUUGCAAAAUCUUGACUUUUUCUGCCACUGGUCUUUGGGGGCCUUAUGAUGCAUCUUUUGUGCUCCCCUUUAUCCCUUCUCAGUACUCUGGGCAGCCAAAUUGUUAAUUUCCAUGUAUUAUUUUUGGCACAUUUAUAUACACCUGUACAGCAGGUUGAAUAACUUAUGAUUAUUUUAUUUAUUUAUUUAUUUUGUAUUUUUGCCUUUUCUAGGGCCUCUCCCGCGGCAUAUGGAGGUUCCCAGGCUAGGGGGUCUAAUCAGAGCUGUAGCCACUGGCCUACGCCAGAGCCACAGCAACGCCAGAUCCGAUCCACGUCUUCGACCUACACCACAGCUCAUGGCAAUGCCGGGUCCUGAAGCCACUGAGCAAGGCCAGGGAUUGAACCUGCAACCUCAUGGUUCCUAGUUGGAUUCAUUAACCACUGCGCCACGAUGGGAACUCCACUUAUGACUAUUUUAAAAAGAUGUUAUUUUGAAUAAUUUUCCAAGUCUCUUGACAUGUCCUACUUUCUGGAGUCAUUAGCCACAAGAUCAUUCUCUCUUUUCUGUUAAUUUUGUGAUAUCUACUUUCCUAAGGUUUAAUGUGUGUGGCUGAUUCUUCCUAGAGUCCUUUCUUAACUAUGUAGUCUUUAAAAUGGCAUGGUUGAGGUUGCGGGUUCGGUCCCUGCCCUUGCUCAGUGGGUUGACGAUCCGGCGUUGCCCUGAGCUGUGGUGUAGGUUGCAGACGCGGCUCGGAUCUCGCGUUGCUGUGGCUCUGGCGUAGGCCGGUGGCUACAGCUCCGAUUCAACCCCUAGCCUGGGAAUCUCCAUAUGCCGCGGGAGCGGCCCAAGAAAUAGCAACAACAACAAAAAGACAAAAGACAAAAAAAAAAAAAAAAAAAAAAAAAA
rnacentral:lncRNA from 1 species